GACGAACGCUGGCGGCGUGCUUAACACAUGCAAGUCGAACGGUGAACCAGAGCUUGCUCUGGGGAUCAGUGGCGAACGGGUGAGUAACACGUGGGCAACCUGCCCCAGACUCUGGGAUAACCUCGGGAAACCGAUGCUAAUACCGGAUACGACCACUUCGGACAUCCGACGGUGGUGGAAAGUUUUUCGGUCUGGGAUGGGCCCGCGGCCUAUCAGCUAGUUGGUGGGGUAAUGGCCUACCAAGGCGACGACGGGUAGCCGGCCUGAGAGGGCGACCGGCCACACUGGAACUGAGACACGGUCCAGACUCCUACGGGAGGCAGCAGUGGGGAAUAUUGCACAAUGGCGAAAGACCUGAUGCAGCGACGCCGCGUGAGGGACGACGGCCU
rnacentral:rRNA from 1 species